UUUACCUUGCUGCCAGGCCAUGAUCCAUCGGGCUAACCACUGAUUACAUCUGUGUUCCUAAUAACUCAUCCUGGGAGAAGAAAUUCACCCAGCUCUCUGAAGCAGUGCCUCAGUUCUCCUGGUUAUCUCCAAACUAAUAAAGCAAACCGAUACUCCUAAUGUGGAGUUUGCACCUCUACCAGAGACAUUUGUCCUUGCUGAGACUACAGCUGUGUGUGCCCCAUGCAGACCCACCACUGCAGACAUUUUCCCUGGAGGAAAAGAAGUAUGAUUCCCAGGAAGGGUAACCUCUGCCACCUUCACUGUGAGCUCACUAAGCUUUGCUCUGCAGGAAGAACAAUUAAAUGCUGACAUCCCUAUGUCACCCGAGUCAGAGGGUGCUUAUGACUGAACUGUAAAUACAAGACCUACAGCCAUCACAUCCCACAGGAAGUGCUACUUCUCUUGAGUGACUUGCUAUCUCAUGUGUCUUGGCCAGAACUCUUCCAUGGCUUCUCUGAUCACCCGGAAUAAGAAUUUUUCUUCUAGGACAUGCUAACUAGAGAAUGGCCUCUCGGGGGAAUCCAUGUACUGCUGAAGCACCUGAACAAAAAGCAUCAUUUCCAUAUCAGUGCUAUUAGAAGGAUACCAUCCUCAUGAACAGGCAAGUGCUUGCAUACUCUUGGUUGCAUACUCUGCAUGAGGAACAUUGUUAAAGUGCAAUUGUCAGGAAAGCUUCUUUACAAGUGUGAUACAGAAAGUACCACAAAUACAGACAUGACCCGUGCUUUUUUAAAACAUCUUCAGAUAGAAAGCUUAUGAUUGCUAUUGUUUGAAAUGACAGUGACUGUCAGUACCAUAUAAUAUGUUAUUAUGUCUUGUCUCCUCCUCCUCCUCCACAAUAUUUUCUUACUACAGUAAUUCAAAGUACUUUGAUGUUCCCUUGCUUUUACUUACAACCCUCAGAUAGGUCACACUGAGUCUAUCUUUUCUUUUUUUCUCUUUUCUGUUUUUUUUUUCCUCGUACUAUUCUUGCAGUCUAAUGUUCCAACCAUUUACUUUGCUUAAAACAUUUCUUACCUGUCAGCUUAUUUAUUUCAUUUCUCCAAAUGCCAAGGUACCUGGGGAGGAAUUCACAAGCUUCUGACAUUCAGUAAAAACACUAUCAACCUUGAUGAUGUUUCUUUGAAACUACCAUCUUACCACAUUUGUUUUCCCAUCACGCUUGCAUGUACGAGUGCAUUUGUGUGUGCAGCUGCUGAGGUCAGAGAAGGGGAAAUAGAAUUAAGUAUCUCUGAAGAAGAAAUGGAAUUAAGUAUCUCCAGUCCCAAAUUUCUUAUCUAAAGGUAGUUGACUGAUACGAUGGCAAAGUAAAGGAUGCUAAGCAGGGUGUCAGAAUUGAAACUGCACUUCUUAGUGGCAACAGACAGAACAGGAUAUUUGUGGUGACCUUGGCCAAAAUGUGACUUCACUAACUUAGUGCCAUUCCUUACCACAGAUACUGGUCAUGGGUGUACCUAGAUGCAGGACAGGCUUCCAUAGGGAGGGGCAUUCAGCAACCUUAGUUAAAAGCCUGUGAUAUCUUUCAUCAAAGAGUUUAUUUAGUGAAAUUUAAGGUUUUAUUGGUAUCCAAACAAUUCCUUGCUCUGAGGUGAACUCAGGAUAUUUUAUACAAAAAAGAAAAAAGAACAAAAGAA